GAUGAACGCUGGCGGCGUGCCUAAUACAUGCAAGUCGAACGAACGGACAAGAAGAUUGCUUCUCUGAUGUUAACGACGGACGGACGAGUGAGAAGUACAUCACCUACCUAUAUUACUGGGAUAAAUUCGGGGAACCGGUGCCACUAACGGAUAAUAAUUUUAACGGGAUGGUUCAAAAGAGCAAGCAGGUCUUGCUGUCUCAUAUAGACGUUUCCGUGUUGGAUUAGCUAGUUGGUAAGGUAACGGCUUACCAAGGCAACGCUGCAUAGCCGACCUGAGAGGGUGAUCAGCCACACUGGAACUGAGACACGGUCCAGACUCCUACGGGAGGCAGCAGUAGGGAAUCUUGGGAAAUGGGCGCAAGCCUGACCGAGCGACGCCGCGUGGGUGAUGAAGGACUUCGGAUCGUAAAACCCUGUUAUUGGGGAAGAACAUAUGUAUAUGGAAAUGCGCAUGUCUUGACGGUACCUAAAGAGAAAGCCACGGCUAACUACGUG
rnacentral:rRNA from 1 species